UUAUGACCAUAUCACGUUGAAACACCGGUUCUCGAACGUUCACCGAAUCUAAGCAACGUCGAGCCUGGUAAUUACGUAGAUGGGUGACCGCUUGGGAAUACCA
rnacentral:rRNA from 1 species